GGAUGGGUGACACAGUGGUUAAGUGCUAGGCUGUUAACCAAAAGGUCAGCAGUUCAAACCCACUCCUAUCCA
rnacentral:tRNA from 1 species